GAUGAACGCUGACAGCAUGCUUAACACAUGCAAGUCAACCUGUGGCGGACGGGUGAGUAACGCGUAAAGAACUUGCCUCACAGAUAGGGACAACAUUUGGAAACGAAUGCUAAUACCUGAUACUGUGAGAGAGCUUUGCGUCCCAUUAGCUAGUUGGAGAGGUAACGGCUCACGAAGGCGAUGAUGGGUAGCCGGCCUGAGAGGGUGAUCGGUCACAAGGGGACAGAGACGCCGCCCUUGCGUCUACGUGAGGCAGGGGUGGGAACUAGUGGACAACAGACCAAAGUCUGAUGCAGCCAUUCGGUUUGCAUGAUAAAGUUUUCGGAAUGUAGAGUGCUUUCAGUUGGGAAGCGUUACCAACAGAAGAAGUGACGGCUAACUACGUGCCAGCAGCCGCGGUAAUUC
rnacentral:rRNA from 1 species